UCUCUAGAUAACAAUUUGUCAGCUUCAUUAAUAUCCAUGAACAUAAAAACUUGGGGUGAAAUCUGACAUGUCCAAGGUCUGUGUAGGUGAGGUGACAUUUCCUUUUGGCUUCUGACUACCUGCAUAU
rnacentral:snoRNA from 1 species